AAAGUGAUAAUGCUUUGGUUGCCACGCAGGACCCAAGUUCGCAUUUCGGGUCCGGCAUCUCCUGAAAAUGUAUUUUCGGGGUUCUGGGACCGGCCCGGCGUUCUAUGUCCUUCACUAUCCGGCUUCCCUCUACGGGUGUGAGUGCAGACCGUGGUUGGAACUGGCCCUUAUUAAUCUCCCUGAUUGGAAAGGGACACAAAAAUGUAAAAAAAAAUUCCCGGCCGACCCCAUCAAGGCGCCGAGUCCGUCGGUUUAACCCCCUAAGGACUGGAAUCCAAUUUCGGGAUAAGCUGUUUUUAUCCCGAUUGACUCCGUCAUGGCGCUGAACCGAUCGGUUCGACCCUUGGGGAAAGGAGAAU
rnacentral:lncRNA from 1 species